rnacentral:rRNA from 1 species
GAGUUUGAUCCUGGCUCAUAAUGAACGCUGGCGGCAUGCCUAACACAUGCAAGUCGAACGAAGGCUUCGGCUUAGUGGCGCACGGGUGCGUAGCGCGUGGUGAAUCUAGCCCUCAGGUUCGGAAUAACAGUGAGAAAUUGCUGUAAUUACCUGGAUGAUAUCGCGAGAUCAAAGAUUUAUCGCCUGAGGAUGAGCCCGUGUAGGAUUAGCUAGUUGGUGUGGUAAAGGCGCACCAAGGGGACGAUCCUUAGCUGGUCUGAGAGGAUGAUCAGCCAUCACUGGGACUGAGACACGGCCAUAACUCCUACGGGAUGCAUGCACGUGGGGAAUAUUGGACAACUGGGCGAAAGCCUGAUCCAGCAAUGCCGGGGUGAGUGAUGAACGGCCUUAGGGUUUGUUAAAUGCCUCUUUUACCCCGGGGAUGGAUCAAUGAUCACGUCACCGGGAUGAAUAACGCGUCCGGGGUUAAUCUCCGUGCCAGCAGCCGCGGUAAUUACGGGAAGGGAGCUAAGCGUAAUCCG